GAGAAAGUGUGGAAGAGAAAUAGUAAUCAUUGGAAGCCUUCAGAGAGAAAACGGCAGGUGAGAGUUUUUGACGGAAGAUGAUGAACCAGUCUUGGAGCUGCAUAUCCAAGCAGAAGUGAAGGUAUGUCGGGUUCUCCCGUUACAGAGAGAAGGCAUAAGAAGAUGUGCCGGAGUGCAGGAGCAAUCCUGAAUUUAGGUGGUACCACGGAUGAAACAUUCGCCCUAAGC
rnacentral:ncRNA from 1 species